UACGUAGGUGGCAAGCGUUGUCCGGAUUUACUGGGCGUAAAGAGCGCGCAGGCGGUCAGAUAAGUCGAAUGGGAAAGCCCCCGGCUCAACUGGGGAGGGUCAUUCGAUACUGUUCGACUCGAAGGCAGGAGAGGGAAGUGGAAUUCCCGGUGUAGUGGUGAAAUGCGUAGAUAUCGGGAGGAACACCAGUGGCGAAGGCGACUUCCUGGCCUGUUCUUGACGCUGAGGCGCGAAAGCUAGGGGAGCAAACGGG
rnacentral:rRNA from 1 species